AUCCUGAUGACUUGUCCCAAAUAGGACGAAAUGCGCGUCAAACUGGAU
rnacentral:hammerhead_ribozyme from 1 species